rnacentral:lncRNA from 1 species
AACAACCGGAUCAGCCCCCAGAAAUGACUAAUUCUCAUGCAUCUAAUACCAACCCUACGUUUAAAAACAAACUACUCUCCCAAGACAAUUUAUUAACUACCACUAUAGAUACAAACGCAGUCAUGAUAGACUGCCCAGAACCAAUGAAAGAAGAUAUUGGCCAGGAACUUCUAUCAUCAAAAUUCAUGCAUAUUUCCUUAACGGAUGAUGAUAGGAAAAGAAUGUACUCACCCUGGC